UACGUAGGGUGCAAGCGUUAAUCGGAAUGACUGGGCGUAAAGCGUGCGUAGGUGGUGUUGUAAGACAGGCGUGAAAUGCCCGGGCUUAACCUGGGGAUGGCGUUUGUGACUGCAAUGCUAGAGUGAGUCAGAGGGGGGUAGAAUUCCACAUGUAGCAGUGAAAUGCGUAGAGAUGUGGAGGAAUACCGAUGGCGAAGGCAGCCCCCUGGGGCGUGACUGACACUGAAGUACGAAAGCGUGGGGAGCAAACAGG
rnacentral:rRNA from 1 species